UUGCCUACGGGAGGCAGCAGUGGGGAAUAUUGGGCAAUGGAGGAAACUCUUACCCAGCAAUGCCGCGUGAAUGAAGAAGGUCUUCGGAUUGUAAAGUUCUUUAAUUGGGGACGAAAAAAAUGACGGUACCCAAGGAAUAGGCCCCGGCUAACUACGUGCCAGCAGCCGCGGUAAUACGUAGGGGGCAAGCGUUGUUCGGAAUGACUGGGCGUAAAGAGCGCGUAGGCGGGAUAGCAAGUCAGAUGUGAAAUCCUAUGGCUUAACCAUAGAACUGCAUUUGAAACUGUUAUUCUAGAGUAUGGGAG
rnacentral:rRNA from 1 species